AGGGCGUACGGUGAAUGCCUUGGUGCCAACAGGCGAAGAAGGACGCGGCAAGCUGCGAAAAUCCUCGGGAAGCUGCAAGCAAGCGAUGAUCCGGGGGUAUCCGAAUGGGGUAACCUGAUCGAGGCAAUACUCGAUCGUUCAUACCUGAAUACAUAGGGUAUGAAACGCGAAACCCGCUGAAGUGAAACAUCUCAGUAAGCGGAGGAAAAGAAAGAGAAAUCGAUUCCGUAAGUAGUGGCGAGCGAAAGCGGACGGAGCCCAAACCGAAGGUACUCCUUCGGGGUUGUAGGACCACGAGAUAUUCGACCAUACUGGAUAGUAGAACAGCCUGGAAAGGCUGGCCGUAGAAGGUGAAAGCCCUGUAGACGAAAUCCAGCGUGGGAAUUAGUGGUAUCCUGAGUAAUACAUCACACGUGGAACGAUGUAUGAAUCAGCGCGGACCACCGCGCAAGGCUAAAUACUAGUUGGCGACCGAUAGUGAACAAGUACCGCGAGGGAAAGGUGAAAAGAACCGCUGUGAGCGGAGUGAAAUAGAACCUGAAACCGUAUGUCUACAAAGUGUCAGAGCAGAGCAAUCUGCGAUGGCGUGCCUUUUGUUUAAUGAGUCUGCGAGUCAGUGUUUGUGGCAAGACUAAGGGCUUCCGGCCCGGAGUCGCAGCGAAAGCAAGUCCGAAUAGGGCGAAUUAAGUCGCAGGUACUGGACCCGAAGCGGAGGUGACCUACCCUUGGCCAGGUUGAAGCAUGGGUAAAACCAUGUGGAGGACCGAACAGGUGAACGUUGAAAAGUUCUCUGAUGAGCUGAGGGUAGGAGUGAAAGGCUAAUCAAACCCCGUGAUAGCUGGUUCUCUUCGAAAUGCAUUUAGGUGCAGCGUCACGUGCUGAUGCGCGGGGGUAGAGCACUGACAAGGCUAGGGGGCACACCCGCUUACCAAACCUUAUCAAACUCCGAAUACCGUGCAAUGGAACGUGGCAGUGAGACAGUGGGGGAUAAGCUUCAUUGUCGAGAGGGAAACAACCCAGACCAGCAGCUAAGGUGCCUAAAUAACGCUCAGUGGAAAGGAUGUGGGAUUACACAGACAGUGAGGAUGUUGGCUUAGAAGCAGCCACCAUUUAAAAAAUGCGUAAUAGCUUACUCAUCGAGUGAUCCUGCGCCGAAAAUGAUUGGCGAUCAAGCGUUAUACCGAAGCUCUGGACUUUACCUUACGGUAGAGUGGUAGAAGAGCGUUGCAUGCGCGUUGAAGGGUGAUGGCGACUGACCCUGGAGCACAUGCAAGUGAGUAUGCAGACAUGAGUAACGUAAAGCCGGGUGAAAUCCCCGGCCGCCGUAAACCCGAGGUUUCCAGGGCAACGUGUUUCGUCCCUGGGUUAGCCGGGACCUAAGCCGAGGCCGAGAGGCGUAGGCGAUGGAUAUCAGGUUAAUAAUCCUGAGCUCGCGACCCUUAAACUGGGGGGACGCAUGAGAAAAGAUGACUAGGUUAUUGAAUUCCGAGUUGAGUCCACGGACUCAGCGCAUCAUUGGAUCGAGUGCCAAGAAAAGCCCCAGCGUAUGCUAAGCGACCCGUACCGCAAACCGACACAGGUGGGUGGGUAGAAUAUACCAAGGCGUAAGAGUGAAACCUGGUUAAGGAACUCGGCAAAUUAGCCCCGUAACUUCGGAAGAAGGGGUGCCUGCAGCGAUGCAGGCCGCAGAGAAAUGGCCCAACCGACUGUUUAUCAAAAACACAGCACUCUGCAAAGACGCAAGUCGAAGUAUAGGGUGUGACACGUGACCAAUGCCGAAAGAUUAAGGCAAGGGGUUAGCCGCAAGGCGAAGCUCUGAACCCAAGUCCCGGUGAAUGUCGGCCGUAACUAUAACGGUCCUAAGGUAGCGAAAUUCCUUGUCGGGUAAGUUCCGACCUGCACGAAUCGUGAAACGAGUUGGGCACUGUCUCAACCAGGCGCUCAGUGAAAUUGUAGUGGCGGUGAAGAUGCCGCCUACCCGCAGAAGGACGGAAAGACCCUAUAGACCUUAACUGUAAGCUGUCAUUGUUUCUUCGGUUUUAAUGCUCAGAGUAAGUGGGAGACGCUGAAGACGCCCUUUAGGGGGCGUCGGAGUCAUCAAUGAGACACCACCCUUUGAAACUGGAGGAUCUAACCCUGAGCCGU
rnacentral:rRNA from 1 species